CUCUGCCAGGAUAGUUUAGGGCUCCUGUUUGUGUGUCUCAUAUGUGGAGAUUAUAAGACAACUUUUAGGAAUCAGUUCUCUACCACGUGGGCCAAACCGUCUUGUCAGCCCUGGUUGUGUUUUUUUUUUUGUGUGUGUGUUUUUUGUUGGUUUUUUUUUUGUUGUUGUUGUUUUGUUUUGUUUUUUGUUUUUUUGGUAGGUUUUAUCAGCUCAAGUAUUUUGCUUUGUUGGUAGAUCUAUUUAGGUUUUUAAAGAGGGGGGUGGUAGUGGUGGUGGAAAGACUUCUGUAGCCCUGGCUGACCUUGAGCUCCUGAUACUCCUGCCUCUACCUCCCAAAUGCUGGAAUUGCAAGCAUAUAACACAAUGCCUGGCUUUUUUUUGUUCUCGUUCUUCUUUGUUUGUUUGUUUUCUGUUCUGUUUCUCUCAGACAGCGUUGCUCUUUAGGCUGUCGG
rnacentral:lncRNA from 1 species